UCGUGGAGUGAUCUGUCUGGUUAAUUCCGCUAACGGACGAGACCUCUCCUUAUUAACUAGCCCAGUCGAUCGUCGAUACGGGUGAAGCCGUUGAGUGAGUUUGGGCUUCGGCCUGGGCCACUUGGCGUGUGGAACCUGGAUGUAUCGCGCUGGCGCUUCUUAGGGGUACAAUCUGCGGUUUAGCAGAAGGGAGCUAGAGGCAAUAACA
rnacentral:rRNA from 1 species